AGGAUAUUAGUUAAAUUUUUAAUAACAUUUAUUUUGCAAAUAAAAAUUAAUUUCUAUUAAAUUAUAUCUUU
rnacentral:tRNA from 1 species